GCAGCGGCGGCAGCGCCUUUGUGGGGAGAGCGGAGCGGCGGCAGCAGCGCCCCCCGCGCCGCCGGGCUGGGGCCGGGGCUCCCCGCCGUCCCCAUGAGCGGGCUCUAGGGCACCUUCGCCACCAGCGCCACACGGGGUGGUUUUUCUUUUUUUUUUUUUCUUUUCAUUUUUUUCUUACAGUAUAUUUUUCUACACUUUGCUAUUAAAAAAAAAAAAAAUGGUGCUGGGGAAGGUGAAGAGUUUGACAAUAAGCUUCGACUGUCUGAAUGACAGCAAUGUCCCCGUCUAUUCCAGCGGGGACACAGUCUCAGGAAGGGUCAAUUUAGAAGUAACCGGGGAAAUUAGAGUGAAAUCUCUUAAAAUCCACGCUAGGGGACACGCGAAAGUGCGCUGGACUGAAUCGAGAAACGCUGGAUCCAACACUGCCUACACACAGAACUACACUGAAGAAGUCGAGUAUUUCAACCAUAAGGACAUCCUGAUCGGCCACGAGAGAGAUGAUGACAAUUCAGAAGAAGGCCUCCACACCAUCCAUUCGGGAAGGCACGAAUAUGCAUUCAGCUUUGAGCUUCCACAGACACCACUUGCUACCUCAUUCGAAGGCAGACAUGGCAGUGUGCGCUAUUGGGUGAAAGCCGAAUUGCAUAGGCCUUGGUUUCUACCAGUAAAAUUAAAGAAGGAAUUUACAGUCUUUGAACAUAUAGAUAUCAACACUCCUUCAUUACUGUCACCCCAAGCAGGCACAAAAGAAAAGACUCUCUGUUGUUGGUUUUGUACCUCAGGCCCAAUAUCCUUAAGUGCCAAAAUUGCAAGGAAGGGCUACACCCCAGGUGAAUCAAUUCAGAUCUUUGCUGAGAUUGAGAACUGCUCUUCCCGUGUGGUGGUGCCAAAGGCAGCCAUUUACCAAACACAGGCAUUUUAUGCCAAAGGGAAAAUGAAGGAAGUCAAACAGCUUGUUGCCAACCUGCGUGGGGAAUCCUUGUCAUCUGGCAAAACAGAAACCUGGAAUGGCAAACAGUUAAAAAUUCCACCUGUUUCCCCUUCCAUCCUCGACUGUAGUAUAAUCCGUGUGGAGUAUUCACUGAUGGUAUAUGUGGAUAUUCCAGGCGCCAUGGAUUUAUUCCUUAACUUACCACUGGUCAUUGGUACCAUUCCUCUACACCCAUUUGGUAGCAGAACAUCAAGUGUGAGCAGCCAGUGUAGCAUGCACAUGAAUUGGCUUGGACUGACGCUGCCUGAAAGACCAGAAGAACUUGUUGUUCGAACUGCGUGUGCCUUUUCCCUGCAGCACCUCCUAGCUAUGCAGAAGUGGUCACUGAGGAGCAAAGACAGUCCAGCCUUGCACCCAUAGGUGCCUGUGAUGAUUUCGAGAGAGCGCUUCCAGGACCAUUGUUCGCAUACAUCCAGGAGUUCCGUUUUCUGCCUCCACCCCUCUAUUCAGAAAUCGAUCCAAACCCGGAUCAGGCCACAGAUGACAGACCAUCUUGCCCCUCUCGUUGAAGGAAUCCGUAAAGAGCUGACUUGGCUUGAGUUUUGAUUUGUACCUGCCGUGUUGAAGGUCAAGGCGUCAUAGUGGAGACACUUUCAACGGAAGUGGUUUUGCUCUUGCCUGUAUGGUGAAAAAAUGAAAACAACCUGUGAUCAUGCUUUGAAGCCUACAGUAACAUUGUAGGACUGCUCCACAUGCUUGAAGACCUGAGCUUCCCCCCUUGCCCCUUAAAUACUGGCACAUACUAGGAGCAGCCUUACUAACCUACAGUCUUGUGUGUCAAAACACUCAAACCACAUUGUAAGAGAGGGAUGGCUUCCUCUUAAGAUUGGGGAAAUUUGCACAUGCUCAUUGCUUAACGUUGUGCGGUUCGGUGUCACUACAGCUUUUUCUCAUUUAUGCCCGACUGUUGUUACCCCCCUCUUAUUUGUGGUCCGCACAAUAAGGAGCAAAAGAAAGCUUUGACAAAAAAAAAAAGCAACAGACUUUGACAAAUGCACUGACUUUACUUUUUUUUUCUUUAAUUUAAUGUAGCCUGGACUUUACCUGCAUAUGCACAUGCUCAGAAUUGUCCUAGUAGGCUGACCAUGUAUCACCUCUUCAGCUUGGAUCCUGUUGUGGAUUUAUUUACAAACAUCAAAUGCCUUCAAGCCAAUCCUUCUUGCUGUAUGUUUUGCAGCCUACUGUAGUAGAUAAGCAACAGAUGUGGGGCUGGGGUGGGGGGUGGAGAGUUAAUAGAAAGAAUAAUAGGCUUCAUCAAGAUUGUAUACCUUGAUUUCUUUUAAGAAUUUGUUGCCUUUCUACUAUUAUCGCAAAGCAGCAUUUUGUUACAGACUGCCUACAAAUCACUUAAUCUCAGGUGAACUCAUCACUUGCCAAACUGUUGGAAUGCUAUUUGUUUCGUUACGUUGCACUGUUGAGUUACUUCUUUUUUUUUUGUUUUGUGUUUCGUUUUUUUGUUCUUUAUUCGAGAGGGGAUCUGGAAUGGGGACAUACACAAAAGUUAGAAAACCCACCUUCAUUCCCAUUUCUCUUUCUAUAUUGUUACAAAAAUUCUAGUUGUGAAGCCUUAAAAAAAAAAAAGGCACAGAUGAAAGCAGCACCAGUAGACACCAGCUCAGCCUCAGAAGAAUUUUGAAAGGAAAUAAUAAUACACUGUCUAGUAUUCAUAGUAGUAAGGAUGGGAAGGGAAAAUAAAUUUAUUUUUAUAUCCAGUUACCUAAUCACCAAAAACUCUGUGUUGAGUCUCUAGUAGAAAGUAUAUUUCAAACUGCAGGAAAAGCUUGGACUAUGCUAAGAGCUCAGUUUGUGCACUUUGUAUUAUCUUCAGGGUUUAUGAUACUGUAAAAAUAACACUUCUAGUCUAAUUAAACUGGGCAAGUGUUACCAGCCAUAUUCGGGUAUAGGUUAGGUGGAGUUGCUUUGGGGAUUGCUUGUUCUGUGGUACUCUAAAGAGCUUUAAAACACACAGAACAGCGGAUUUCACCAUAGGUGCGUUCAGAAUGCACAAAAUCCUAUGGGAAGAGCACUCGCCCUUGAGUGUGCCCGAGGGAAGAAGAGUGCCACGGAGCCGCUACGUGUGCUAACACCAAUACCAGCACUUACUGCUAGAGAUCAAUAAUAUAAGUCAACUUUCCUGUUCAGACAUUGUGAUAACACAGACCAUUGACAAAGGGACAUGCUUCCGCUGUUGAUGGCUUAAAUAAAGAUACAAUCCAUCGAGUAUCUCUCUCCUUGUGCAAUAAAACAGCUCGGAAGGGAGUGGGAGAGGUGAGGCUGCUGUUCCUGCGUGGUGCUGUUUCUUAAAAACCUCUGCCUUGUUUUUAAGGCUUCAUAAAUGCGACAAAAUAGGCUUUUCCAUAAGUGGCCUUUAUGAGAACAUGAACGAUAAUUCAUGUUUCAAAAAAUGACAACAGGGUGAUAAAAUACAAAUGAGUCGCGUUUUAAGUGAUUCAGUUAAAAAGGCUCGGGCUUUGAGCAAGAACAUCAGAUGAGGAAAUUGGGUGAUGUCUUACGGUAUUAGGCCGAUUUUGUGAAUGUCCCUUCCCCUCUACCCUCUCCAACCAGACAAUUCUAAAAGCUGAUGGGAUCGUUGGCAUAAAAGGGCAUUUGGUGGUUUUACUUUUUUUUCCUUUUUUUGUUACUUUGACAGACUGGGGAACAAUUGCUGAUAUACAUAGCAUUAAAGUACUUAUCACAAUAUAAUGGAGAAUUGAACAUGAAGCAGGAUUGACCAAUAUUGUAGUAAUUGAUGUGGCAUCGCAGCCUUUGUGGUUAGAGUGAAAAAGUUUAUAACCUUAUCAAAUAAAGACUUUCGGUUUAAAUUACAUGGUUAGUUGUUCAGAGGCAUUAUUCUUCCACAAGUAUUGGUCAAUUCUCAGCGUUACAAAACAUGAAGUUCACGGUUGUAGCCCGAUAUUUGAUAUAGAAUUACGAUCUGAAUUAGGAAAAAGUAAGUAAAAUCCAAACAUUAGAGAAACAAAGUGCAAUAUUAAAUGUUUGCUUUAUAGAUUAUAUUCUAUGGCUGUUUGUACUUCUCUUUUUUUGUUUUAGUUUUGGUGCUGAAUAUGUCCUUGUAGACUCUGUUUCAAGAAAACUAUGUGGAAAAACAAUUUAAUUUUUCCUAUUGCUCUUCCUUGUGGAAAAUAAACUUUUUUUAAAAAAAAAA